rnacentral:rRNA from 1 species
GACGAACGCUGGCGGCGUGCUUAACACAUGCAAGUCGAACGGACAGGCCCUGCUUUUGUGGGGUGCUCGAGUGGCGAACGGGUGAGUAACACGUGAGUAACCUGCCCUUGACUUUGGGAUAACUUCAGGAAACUGGGGCUAAUACCGGAUAGGAGCUCCUGCUGCGUGGUGGGGGUUGGUAAGUUUCGGCGGUUGGGGAUGGACUCGCGGCUUAUCAGCUUGUUGGUGUGGUAGUGGCUUACCAGGGCUUUGACGGGUAGCCGGCCUGAGAGGGUGACCGGCCACAUGGGGACUGAGAGACGGCCCAGACUCCUACGGGAGGCAGCAGUGGAGAAUAUUGCACAGUGGGCGGAAGCCUGAGGCAGCAGCGCUGCGUGCGUGAUGACGGCCUUCGGGUGGUAAACCGCUUUCGCCUGUGACGAAGCGUGAGUGACGGUAAUGGGUAAAGAAGCACCGGCUAACUACGUG